rnacentral:tRNA from 1 species
GGCUCGGUAGCUUAGUUCGUAAAGCACUCGUCUAGCAUACAAGAGUCCUGGGUUCGAAUCCCAGCCGAGCAC